UGGGGAAUAUUGCACAAUGGAGGGAACUCUGAUGCAGCGACGCCGCGUGAACGAAGAAGGCUUUCGAGUCGUAAAGUUCUUUUAUAUGGGAAGAUAAUGACGGUACCAUAAGAAAAAGCCCCGGCUAACUACGUGCCAGCAGCCGCGGUAAUACGUAGGGGGCUAGCGUUGUCCGGAAUCACUGGGCGUAAAGGGUUCGCAGGCGGAAAUGCAAGUCAGGUGUAAAAGGCAGUAGCUUAACUACUGUAAGCAUUUGAAACUGCAUAUCUUGAGAAGAGUAGAGGUAAGUGAAAUUUUUAGUGUAGCGGUAAAAUGCGUAGAUAUUAAAAGAAUACCGGUGGCGAAGGCGACUUACUGGGCUCAUUCUGACGCUGAGGAACGAAAGCGUGGGUAGCAAACAGG
rnacentral:rRNA from 1 species